GCGCCGGUGGUCUAAUGGCUACAAGCUUUGAAUAAAAACUUGCUGUAAAUGACAACGGCCUUCCAAGCCGUUUAUCUGGGUUCGAAUCCCAGCCGGCGCA
rnacentral:tRNA from 1 species